UUCAAAUCUGCUCCAGAACCAUUAGGACGUUGACUUCCUGUAGCCCAGUUUGUGCUCUCUGAGCCUGCCUUGGAGAUUUGAAUGCUGUUUUCCUGGGGACACAGGACUUGGUGAGGAUCCCCUGCCUAGGAGGACAAGAAGAACACUAGUCGCAACAGGGCAACUGUCUGCAGGAGAAACAAUCGUAUCAUCAUGAACCGGUGUGAGGCUGUCAGGGACUACUCACCGGGAGGCUGAAGUUGGCUCACUCACGGGGAUAUUAUCCAAGACACAUGAGCUAGAGACAGAGAUGUUCAGCCCACGUUUUAUUGAGUUUGUACUUGCUAGUCCUUGUCUUGGGGAAAACAAAACAAAACUAAACUAAACAAACAAACAAAAACUGGUGCCCGAUUCUGGUCUCCUGGGUUUAGUUAUAAGUCACCUACUUCUGUGCACUUAGACAUGUCUGCAAGCUUGCCAGAACUAUGUCACAUGACCAGAUUUAACAGUGCUCUUUCUGGCUUAAUUCUAUCCUAAAUUCUUUUCAAAUUCGACAGAUCUGCUGCAGCUGGAGCUUAUUUAUUGGAAUGGGGUUAGAUUGGAUUCCAGAUCUGUCGAGGAUUGUCUGCCUCUGAUCAGGUUUGAAGUCAGGCCAAGCCUGAGACCUGACUUGCAAGGAAGACAGUGGCCUGUGCAGGAAGAAGGCGAGCCUCAAAGAGUCAGAGGCCGACUAAGAAAAUGGAUGGGUCCCUUAGAUCUGAGAAGCAACAGCGUUAUGGAAUAACAGAUCUCAGACCCCAGGGGCACAAAGGAGGAAAUUACACAAACAGCAUGGGCCAUGGGAUAGCUGCAUCAUCAGAAACUGACUGAGCGGUGACAUCAUGGAACCGGAAUCUCUUUCACAUGGAAGAGCUGCAAGUGAGCCUUUAGGAAAGUAUCACACGCCCCUGCUGCUUUAGUCCUCACUGGGUACCACUUGCAGGCACAAUAACCCAAGAACUUCAGGUGUGCCAGAAGUGGCUUGUGACCAAAAUUAUCCAAAGACUGUAACACCCCUUCAGAAAAACAACUGCAAAUCACGAAAAACAAUCACUGCCACAAUGAUUCUUCAAGGUCAAAGUCCUUCUAGCAAACAGCUGUUUACUCUAAUGAUUUACCUUAGUUACAGUGACUGCUAGAUUCCUACAAUAAA